GAUGAACGCUGGCGGCGUGCUUAACACAUGCAAGUCGAACGGAAAGGCUCCUGCUUGCAGGGGUACUCGAGUGGCGAACGGGUGAGUAACACGGGGGUGAUCUGCCCUGCACUUCGGGAUAAGCCUGGGAAACUGGGUCUAAUACCGGAUAGGACGAUGGUUUGGAUGCCAUUGUGGAAAGUUUUGCGGUGUGGGAUGAGCUCGCGGCCUAUCAGCUUGUUGGUGGGGUAAUGGCCUACCAAGGCGUCGACGGGUAGCCGGCCUGAGAGGGUGUACGGCCACAUUGGGACUGAGAUACGGCCCAGACUCCUACGGGAGGCAGCAGUGGGGAAUAUUGCACAAUGGGCGCAAGCCUGAUGCAGCGACGCCGCGUGGGGGAUGACGGCCUUCGGGUUGUAAACUCCUUUCGCUAGGGACGAAGCGCAAGUGACGGUACCCGGAGAAGAAGCACCGGCUAACUACGUG
rnacentral:rRNA from 1 species